GAUGAACGCUAGCGGCAGGCCUAAUACAUGCAAGUCGAACGGGAUUAAGAGGCUUGCUUCUUAUGAGAGUGGCGCACGGGUGCGUAACACGUAUGCAACCUACCUCCAACAGGGGGAUAGCCUUCCGAAAGGGAGAUUAAUACCGCAUAAUAUAAUUGAACGGCAUCGUUUGAUUAUCAAACUUACAAGGGUUGAAGAUGGGCAUGCGUCCGAUUAGUUAGUUGGUGAGGUAACGGCUCACCAAGGCAUCGAUCGGUAGGGGAUCUGAGAGGAUGACCCCCCACACUGGUACUGAGACACGGACCAGACUCCUACGGGAGGCAGCAGUAAGGAAUAUUGGUCAAUGGACGCAAGUCUGAACCAGCCAUGCCGCGUGCAGGAAGACGGUCCUCUGGAUUGUAAACUGCUUUUGUUAGGGAAGAAACCCUCGGUUGCGAUCGAGGCUGACGGUACCUAAAGAAUAAGGAUCGGCUAACUCCGUGCCAGCCGCCGCAGUAACAC
rnacentral:rRNA from 1 species